AAGACCCCUGGAAACAAAGCAGAGAGCAUGGAUGGAUACCCCACCCCAGUUUGACCUCCCUUACUACCCUAACCCAGCUCUCCUCUGGCGCAGAGUUACUGGACCAAGACUGCCUCAGGGCAGGUAGGGUCUGGAGAGGCAGAAACCACUGAAGUGGGUGACACUCAAAUAUUUAUUGAGACUCAUCAUGUGUGGAGAGUAGCACUGACCUGGGAGUAAGGAGGAUUGAGUCACUGGCAGGCUGUGGGACCCUUGUAGGGGACAUUUUUCAUUUUUGCCUGCCCAGCAUCCCCAUCCAGCUUCUGCAGCCCAAUGCACUAGGUCACCCGGGUUUCUUAGCAAAUUGUCCCACCUCUCACCAUUGAUGCCAUGUAAUAGCCUAUCACAGGCUCCUGUCUCCCCACAAAGCCUGGGCCUAUCAGCCUCUCUUCUGGAGACCUGAGACACAGAGCUGAGAAUAGGAAAAAGUGCCAGAGAAAGGUAGUUGCCAGCUCCUGCUACUGAAAGCUGGGCUCUCCUCUUUCUCCAUCACCAUUCCUAGGCCAGAUUGGUCAGUCCUCAGCAAACCUCUGAUAACUUUUUUUUUCUUUCUCUGUUUUCUUUUUCUUUUUCAUUUUUGGACAUGUUGUCAGAAUUGUUUUUCUGCCAUUUGCAACAGAAAAAACUGAACUCAUGCUCCCUGGAUAAACCCCUUCCUUAAUUUGAGCCUGUUUCCAUUCCCACAAAACAAAACAGGUUAAGCUAAUUGUGUUUACCAAACCUCAGUCAGUCUCAAAACAGUCACACAUCGUGCUUGACAUAUUCUUGUACUACCUGUGCUAUUACUACUUCAUA